rnacentral:rRNA from 4 species
CUUGACCUCAAAUCAGGUAGGACUACCCGCUGAACUUA